UUCUUUCUUUCCUUUCACUUUUCCGUUUUCUUCAUCUAUCCUUUCUUUUUUCCUUUCAUCUUUCUUCUUCUCUCCCUGCAUGGAUAGGUUUCGAAGUCCCGACCUCGUCCCGAUACUGUUUUCUCAUAGGAAUAGGAUGGGGCGGUCGGGAUGCCUCUAGUCUUGCCAGAACUUAAAACCUUAGGACUACAUACCAAAUUAAAUCUUUGGUAAAAGAUUUAACAAGUCCCAAAUAGAUUAUGGGCCAUCCAAAAUUCCAAAUCAAAGCUCUAUACCGAUAAUUUUAAUCCAAAACUAUGCCUUAAGUGGGUGCCAUGAUGCCCAUUGUGCUAAUGUUUAGAAUACAUGAUAGGACAUCUAAAGUGAGAAUCCACUUUGUUGAUCAUCAUCUACAUAUCUUAAAAUUUCUAUAUAUCAAAAUUAAAUUACUUGUGAUGCUCAGAUCAUAACAAAACCUUGUAUCAUGUCAUUAAAGCCAUCCAUUUUGCAUCCACUUGAUGCAUGUUAGAUGCUACCAAAACAUAUUUUUCUGGUUUCUAGGCAUUUCUAGUAGUGAGAUCACAAUCAAUGGUGUGAAACACCAAUUUGAAAGGACUAUGAUUGAUUUUGAUCAUUAAAUAUUUUAUCAAUAAUUUAAUGGAGGCCCCAUAAGCCACAAUGAGUGGAUGUCACUUCAUUGUUAUGGGAGUGACUAUUGUUUUAUGUCGAAUAUAGAGCUGAUAUGUUGAGCCCCAAAAGGAUACUAAGGCUGGGAAGUAAGUUCAUAUCAAAUCGACCGGUCUUUAAAAUGUGGUGCAUGAGGCUGCAUAUGCCUCUGCGAUCCUUUGACCACACCGCUAACUUAUAUGCAGUUUCUGUAUAUAGUUUGGCUAAUAUGGGCCGAAAAGGCAGUUUGCCUAGCACUUUGCACAUAUAUGCAGCAAGAUUAGCAUUGUGCAGUUGCAUACGUUGAUCGCAUUUGUGGGCCCUUGAACAUGGUGCCACUACAUAAUCUAGUUGGAUAUGUGUUUCACAUGGGAUGGCUACAUGUACAUUAAUAUCAAUAUGUUAAUUAUGCUAGAUGUUAUUCCUGUUAAUAUUGCUAUUAUUUGUAAACACCAUUGCUACAUUGUUAUAUUUAACAUAUUUUAUUUAUUUUUAAAUAUUUAAAAUACUAACCGCACAUGUAGCCUGCAUGAUACAUCUGUGCUAUGCAAUCCCUUGACCACCCUCAUACCCCAGACGCCUUUUAAAACAUUGAAAUAGACCAUAUCAAAACAAUAGCCGCUAAAUUAAUGUGGCCCUGCAGCCUACAUGAUACAUUGGUGUUAUGCAAUCCCUUGACCGCCCGCAUACCUCAGCCGUCUUUCAAAACAUUGAAAUGGACCAUGUCAAAACAAUAGUUGCUAAAUUAAUGUGCCCUUGGGCCCACAUCUUUUGCCAAUGAAGGUGUAGUGGAAGUGUAUCAAGACAAAGAGAGGAAGGAAAGAAAGAUCAGGAUGAAGAAAGGGAAAUCCGGUGGGUUCCCACUAUCUGAUAUGAUUUUUUAGCAUAUAACAAUACAAGAGAUUCUUAAUCCAAUUGGAGCUCAACUUUGAUGAGAAGGAACAAAAUAUGAUUUUAUGGGAGUUUUGGAUAGCCAAAGAAUGACUAAUGCUAGAGGAACUGCACAAGAUCCAAAAGGAGAACUCUUGUCCAGAAUUAUAAAUAUCCAAUAAUUUUAGACAAUUAGUUUAAACAUCAGCUCUGAAACAUUAUCUGUCUGCUCUCUAAGCUCGUAGUUUAUUUGAGCAAUUAUCACUCCAUUUAAACACAAAGCAAGAUGCCUUCGAACGUGCAAUGGGGCUGUGAGGCCCAAGCCGAAGGAGAUGCCGGAAUCCUCGGCUGCGCCUUCUCGAGCAUAACGGGGGCGAGAUCCGCGGCGGCCAUUUGAAUGGCCGAUGAACCCGCGCAACCGUCGCUGAAAUUGCGGCGGUGAAUGAGCAUAGCCGUUUGUAAAAUUUCCCCCCAUUGACCGCAUCUGAGAUCCACCAAGCACUCCUCCUUCUCCACCCCACUCUGCCUCUAACCCCUUUCUUCUCCUCCGCUGCUAGGGUUUGGAGCUCGCACCAGUGCCGCCGGAGAGAGUAGCCGCAGCUUCUCCUUAUAGCAAGGUACAGUGAAAUUGUCAUCUGGUUCUAGAGAUUCGUGAGCGAAUCAAGGUAAGUAACCCUGGCACUGAUCUUAUUAAUUUAAAAAUCACUGUUUAAUCGUAAGAAUAAAAUAAUGAAAAAUAUAUUUGUUAUGAUAUAUUUUCUUAAAAAUAGGAUCAAGCAUAUGAUUGCAUGUGAUUAAUGAGUUUGAUUAAAUUGCAUCCAUCAUAAAUAUUUCAAUAUAAAUUAUGGUUAUGAUAAAUUGCAUGAAAAUAAGAUUUGUGGCAUGAUUAUGAAUUUUAUACAUUACGAUGAAUUAUGGUUAUGAUAAAUUGCAUGAAAAUGACAUUUGUGGCAUGAUCAUGAAUUUUAUACAUUACGAUGCCAUUUGUCAUUUUCUAACCUAUGUAUGAAAGUAUGACUUAUGAAAAAGAAUAAUGAUUUAUGAACUCUCAGAUAGCUAUGCCCACCUCUAGAAAUAGAGGUCAGUCGACCCCUCUGGAGCUAGCAUCCAACGAAUAUGGCCCUCUGCCAACAGGUUAAAGUUGGUAACGAAUAAGAAUAAGUUAUAAAACUUGUCGACUACGAAUACGAACCCUGUCACGGGAUUAUAGUGACCAUAGCAGCACACCCGUCUGAGAGUAAGAUUUAUAAAGUAUGGAUGAAUGGCAACAUUUUUAUAAGGCUUGAAUUAUCAUGUUUAUGAACUUGCAUGGUUGAAGCAUAUUUUGUUUUUUUUUAAACCUGUUUGAAUAGUUUAUCUAUGAAAUGCUUUAUUUUCUGUUAAGUUCUUCAAAUGAUGCAUUGGCAUGAGAAAAAUUAUGCUUGAUCUAAUGGGAUAGUACAUGGUUACUUACUGAGUAGCAAGCUCAUACCUCUCCUGUUGUUUUCUUUAUUUAUUUCAGAUAAUUAAGACGAUUUGGAGCGGAAAAGAGUGAAUGAAAAUUGGAGUGAAAGCAUAGUUAUAGGGACUCUUAGAAGUAUCUAUGUUAAUAUGUUUGGGUUGUAAUAUUGCAAACUCAAGUAUUUGAUUAGAUGCUCCGUAUUUGCUUCUUUAUGAUUAGUCAAUAAACUUGAUCGGAUUUGGUUUUAUUUCAUAAAAUAAUAUUGUUAUCAUAGGCUGCGUGUUAUUGUGGGCAGCAACCUACAAUAGCACGGCCAUGUCAUGAGCCGGAUCUGGGAUGCAAAACACAAAAAAAAAAAA